AGUGAACGCUGGCGGUAGGCCUAACACAUGCAAGUCGAACGGCAGCACCGUACGAGCUUGCUCUUACGGGUUGCGAGUGGCGGACGUGUGAGGAAUACAUCGGACUCUACUUUUUCGUGGAGGAUCACGUAGCGAAACUUACUCUAAUACCGCAUACGACCUACGGUUGAAAGCAGUGGAUCUUCGGACCUUGCGCGAUUGAAUGAGCCGAUGUCGGAGUAGCUAGUGGGCGGGGUAAAGGCCCACCAAGGCGACGAUCCGUAGCUGGUCUGAGAGGAUGAUCAGCCACACGGGAACUGGGACACGGUCCAGACGCCUACGGGAGGGAGCAGUGGGGAAUAGUGGACAAUGGGCGGAAGCCUGAUCCAGCCAUACCGCGUGGGUGAAGAAGGCCUUCGGGGUGGAAAGCCCUUUUGUUGGGAAAGAAAAGCAGCAGGUUAAUACCCCGCUGUUGUGACGGUACCCAAAGAAUAAGCACCGGCUAACUACGUG
rnacentral:rRNA from 1 species